rnacentral:rRNA from 1 species
GUGAACGCUGGCGGUAGGCCUAACACAUGCAAGUCGAACGGCAGCACAGUAAGAGCUUGCUCUUACGGGUGGCGAGUGGCGGACGGGUGAGGAAUACAUCGGAAUCUACUUUUUCGUGGGGGAUAACGUAGGGAAACUUACGCUAAUACCGCAUACGACCUACGGGUGAAAGCAGGGGAUCUUCGGGCCUUGCGCGAUUGAAUGAGCCGAUGUCGGAUUAGCUAGUUGGCGGGGUAAAGGCCCACCAAGGCGACGAUCCGUAGCUGGUCUGAGAGGAUGAUCAGCCACACUGGAACUGAGACACGGUCCAGACUCCUACGGGAGGCAGCAGUGGGGAAUAUUGGACAAUGGGCGCAAGCCUGAUCCAGCCAUACCGCGUGGGUGAAGAAGGCCUUCGGGUUGUAAAGCCCUUUUGUUGGGAAAGAAAAGCAGCAGGUUAAUACCCCGCUGUUCUGACGGUACCCAAAGAAUAAGCACCGGCUAACUUCGUG